UUCCGUCUCCCUCUGCCUCAGUUUCUUUAUCUCUCAAACCCUAAGUUUUCUGUCUUUCUGAUCUCAUCUCUCUACUCGCGCCGAUCAGUCGAACACCGUCCAGGAAUGCGUCUCCGAAUUCAUUAGCUUCGUCACCAGCGACGCCAGCGAUAAGAGCCAGAAGGAGAAAGCGAAAGACCAUCAACGGCGACGAUUUGUUGUGGACGAUGGCCAUACUAGGGUUUGACGACUAUAUCGAGCCCCUCAGGAUUUACUUGGCUAGGUACAGGGAGUUCAAUCUAACAUUUUCGUCAAAUCUCUUUCUGAACGCUGCUACAGAUGCUUGAUUUCUUCAAGUCGGCAACGAUUGCAGAGGUAAGCUCUCUGAUGAAAUCAUCUACUUCACACUUUUUUUCUUUUUACAUAUGGCUACAUUUUUUUCAUGGAUUUAUGUAUUUGUUUCCUGUGAAUUCGAAUUCAAAUUGGAAUUAUAGAUUAGUAGAAACAAAUUUCAUGAAUUUUUUUAUUUGCGUGUUUCUGUUGGUUCUGUUUUUUUAGCUACAAGCA